CCCUUAGAUGUUCUGGGCCGCACGCGUGCUACACUGAGUGGAUCAGCGGGUCAGGUUGCGCGAAAGUGUUUCCUAAUCUUUAAAUCCGCUCGUGAUGGGGAUUGACGGUUGCAAUUUUCCGUCAUGAACGAGGAAUACCUUGUAAGCGCGGGUCAUCAUCCCGCGCUGAAUACGUCCCUGCCCUUUGUACACACCGCCCGUCGCUCCUACCGAUUGAGUGGUCCGGUGAGGCUUUGGGAUCUGAGCGGAAAGAGCGUUUCGCUGUUUCUGCCCGGAAAACCCAGUCGAACCUUAUCAUUUAGAGGAAGGAGAAGUCGUAACA
rnacentral:rRNA from 1 species